UGGGGGGCCCUUCGGGAGGCAGCAGUGGGGAAUAUUGCACAAUGGGCGAAAGCCUGAUGCAGCGACGCCGCGUGAGGGAUGACGGCCUUCGGGUUGUAAACCUCUUUCAGCAGGGAAGAAGCGAAAGUGACGGUACCUGCAGAAGAAGCACCGGCUAACUACGUGCCAGCAGCCGCGGUAAUACGUAGGGUGCGAGCGUUGUCCGGAAUUAUUGGGCGUAAAGAGCUUGUAGGCGGUUUGUCGCGUCUGCUGUGAAAAUCCGGGGCUCAACCCCGGACUUGCAGUGGGUACGGGCAGACUAGAGUGUGGUAGGGGAGACUGGAAUUCCUGGUGUAGCGGUGAAAUGCGCAGAUAUCAGGAGGAACACCGAUGGCGAAGGCAGGUCUCUGGGCCACUACUGACGCUGAGAAGCGAAAGCAUGGGGAGCGAACAGGAUUAGAUACCCUGGUAGUCCAUGCCGUAAACGUUGGGCGCUAGGUGUGGGACUCAUUCCACGAGUUCCGUGCCGCAGCUAACGCAUAAGCGCCCCGCCUGGGAU
rnacentral:rRNA from 1 species